CAUGUUCUUCUAGAAUUCUGUUACAGUAAUGUUGUUAUUUAUUUUAGAGUUGUUUGCUUUAUCUUUUUACCAGGCCUAUGCAAAAGAUGACACGGUUUCAAUAGGAACGGUCUUGGAAAAGUUGAGUGAACUCGAAAACGUAAUUACCUUUCAGAACCAGGAGUUACAAAAACUUAAAGAAAAUGAACGAAAUCUCUUACAAAGGAUUCAGAAUUUGGAGCAUAAACAUGCCUUGAAAGAAAAUGACUUAGAAAACCAAAGUGUGUAUGUUACAG
rnacentral:lncRNA from 1 species